GCAAACUUGGUCAUUUAGAGGAAGUAAAAGUCGUAACAAGGUUUCCGUAGGUGAACCUGCGGAAGGAUCAUUAUUGAGUUGAUUGCGAGGCCCAUUUCUGCAAAGGAGUGUGGCUCUUGCUUUUAUCUUUUCCACCCUUUUUGUUAUUAUUUUCCUAGUUGCUUUGGCAGACUGCUUUUUUGCAGGCUGUCAAGGGUUUUACUAUAACCUCAUUUUUAUCCUACAAUUGGAUCUCUUUAGUCUGAUUUAUUACUUUUAAUAAGAAAUAAAACUUUUAACAAUGGAUCUCUUGGUUCUGGCAUCGAUGAAGAACGCAGC
rnacentral:misc_RNA from 1 species